rnacentral:rRNA from 1 species
GACGAACCGAGCGAACGUUGUUCGGAUUCAUUGGGCGUAAAGGGCGCGUAGGCUGCGGGGCAAGUCGGGUGUGAAAUCUCAGAGCUCAACUCUGAAACUGCACUCGAUACUGCUUUGCUCGAGGACUGGAGAGGAGAUUGGAAUUCACGGUGUAGCAGUGAAAUGCGUAGAUAUCGUGAGGAAGACCAGUGGCGAAGGCGGAUCUCUGGACAGUUCCUGACGCUGAGGUGCGAAAGCCAGGGGAGCGAACGGG